rnacentral:rRNA from 1 species
CCUACGGGAGGCAGCAGUGGGGAAUAUUGGACAAUGGGUGGAACCCUGAUCCAGCCAUGCCGCGUGUGUGAAGAAGGCCCUCGGGUUGUAAAGCACUUUCAGUGAGGAAGAACGCCUGGUGGUUAAUACCCAUCAGGAAAGACAUCACUCACAGAAGAAGCACCGGCUAACUCCGUGCCAGCAGCCGCGGUAAUACGGAGGGUGCGAGCGUUAAUCGGAAUUACUGGGCGUAAAGCGCGCGUAGGUGGCUUGAUAAGCCGGUUGUGAAAGCCCCGGGCUCAACCUGGGAACGGCAUCCGGAACUGUCAAGCUAGAGUGCAGGAGAGGAAGGUAGAAUUCCCGGUGUAGCGGUGAAAUGCGUAGAGAUCGGGAGGAAUACCAGUGGCGAAGGCGGCCUUCUGGACUGACACUGACACUGAGGUGCGAAAGCGUGGGUAGCAAACAGGAUUAGAUACCCCUGUAGUC